CAGCCGCCGCGGUAAUACGAAGGGGGCUAGCGUUGCUCGGAAUGACUGGGCGUAAAGGGCGCGUAGGCGGAUUGUUUAGUUAGGCGUGAAAUUCCUGGGCUUAACCUGGGAACUGCAUCUUAUACUGCCUAGCUGGAGUGCAGUAGAGGGUAGUGGAAUUUCCGGUGUAGCGGUGAAAUGCGUAGAUAUCGGAAGGAACACCAGUGGCGAAGGCGGCUACCUGGACUGACACUGACACUGAGGCGCGAAAGCGUGGGGAGCAAACAGGAUUAGAUACCCCCGUAGUCCCUGUCUCUUAUAC
rnacentral:rRNA from 1 species